rnacentral:rRNA from 1 species
CAACGGUGAAAUACCACUCUUGUUUGGUUUUGGUUCUAACCCGCCUUAGGGUGGGGACCAUGUCUGGUGGGUAGUUUGACUGGGGCGGUUGCCUCCUAAAAGGUAACGGAGGCGUCCAAAGGUUCCCUCAGCACGAAUGGAAACCGUGUGUAGAGUGUAUUGGCAUAAGGGAGCUUGACUGUGAGACCUACAAGUCGAGCAGGGACGAAAGUCGGGCAAAGUGAUCCUACGGUACUGUGUGGAAAGGCCGUGGCUUAACGGAUAAAAGCUACGCUAGGGAAAACAGGCUUAUCUUGCCCAAGAGUUCAUAUCGACGGCAAGGUUUGGCACCUCGAUGUCGGCUCGUCGCAUCCUGGGGCUGAAGAAGGUCCCAAGGGUUGGGCUGUUCGCCCAUUAAAGCGGCACGCGAGCUGGGUUCAGACCGUCGUGAGACAGGUCGGUCUCUAUCCGUCGUGGGCGCCGGAGAUUUGAGGGGAGCUCUCCUUAGUACGAGAGGAUUAGGAGGGACAGACCUCUGGUGUGCCAGUUGUUCCGCCAGGAGCAGUGCUGGGUAGCUAUGUCUGGAUGGGAUAAGUGCUGAAAGCAUCUAAGCGCGAAGCCCACCCCAAGAUGAGAUCUCCCACUGGGUUAACCAGGUAAGGCCGCAAGUAGACUACUUGCUUGAUAGGCGGCAUGUGUAAGCGGAGUAAUCCGUUUAGCUAAGCCGUACUAUUGG